rnacentral:rRNA from 1 species
GAUGAACGCUGGCGGCGUGCCUAAUACAUGCAAGUCGAGCGAACAGACGAGGAGCUUGCUCCUCUGACGUUAGCGGCGGACGGGUGAGUAACACGUGGAUAACCUACCUAUAAUACUGGGAUAACUUCGGGAAACCGGAGCUAAUACCGGAUAAUAUAUUGAACCGCAUGGUUCAAUAGUGAAAGACGGUUUUGCUGUCACUUAUAGAUGGAUCCGCGCCGCAUUAGCUAGUUGGUAAGGUAACGGCUUACCAAGGCAACGAUGCGUAGCCGACCUGAGAGAGUGAUCGGCCACACUGGAACUGAGACACGGUCCAGACUCCUACGGGAGGGAGCAGUAGGGAAUCUUCCGCAAUGGGCGAAAGCCUGACGGAGCAACGCCGAGUGAGUGAUGAAGGUCUUCGGAUCGUAAAACUCUGUUAUUAGGGAAGAACAAAUGUGUAAGUAACUAUGCACGUCUUGACGGUAACUAAUCAGAAAGCCACGGCUAACUACGUG